rnacentral:misc_RNA from 1 species
AAGUCGUAACAAGGUUUCCGUAGGUGAACCUGCGGAAGGAUCAUUAACAAUUGAAAAAAAAAAGAUCAAAUUUGGAUGAAAUUCUUUUAUCCUUUUUUGUCUUUUUUUUUAAUCCCAAUUUUAAAAACCUUUCAGAUUUUUGUUUUGUUUUUUUUAAACAAACAAAAGUCUGAAUCCAAGUAACUCCAAUUCUCAGUGUUUGAUUGAAGUCUUUUUUUUUCUUUUUCAAAAAAAAAAAGAAAAGAUGGAUGUCGAGCACGUUAAAUCUUUAUUUUUUUAAACCCCUUUUUACAAACUGUCUUAGACUGAUAUGACCGAAUGUCAAAAUAUUCAAUUAAGAACAACUCUUAACAACGGAUAUCUUGGCUCUC